rnacentral:lncRNA from 10 species
GGUGGAAACAGCCAGGCGUGGUGGCUCAUGGCUGUAAAAGAGGAGGAGGAGGAGGAAACAGCGAGGUGGGUGGCUCACGCCUGUAAAAGAGGAGGAGGAGGAGGAAACAGCCAGGCGUGGUGGCUCAUGGCUGUAAAAGAGGAGGAGGAGGAGGAAACAGCCAGGCGACCUGGCUCAUGCUUGUAGAGGCAGAGGAGGAGGAGGAAACACCCAUGUGCAAUGGCUCACACCUGUUGAGGAGGAAGGAACAGUCAGGCGACGUGACUCACACACCUGUAAAAGAGGAGGAGGAGGAAACAACCAGGCGAGGUGGCUCACACGCCUAUAAAAGAGGAGGAGGAAACAGCCAGGCGGGUGGCUCAUGGCUGUAAAAGAGGAGGAGGAGGAGGAGGAAACAGCCAGGCGAGGUGGCUCAUGGCUGUAAAAGAGGAGGAGGAGGAGGAGGAAACAGCCAGGCGAGGUGGCUCAUGGCUGUAAAAGAGGAGGAGGAGGAGGAAACAGCCAGGCGGGUGGCCCACGCCUGUAAAAGAGGAGGAGGAGGAGGUGGAAACAGCCAGGCGACCUGGCUCAUGGCUGUAAAAGAGGAGGAGGAAGGAGACAGCCAGGCCUGGUGGCUCAUGGCUGUAUAAAGAGGAGGAGGAGGAGGAAACAGCCAGGCGGGUGGCUCACGCCUGUAAAAGAGGAGGAGGAGGAGGAAACAGCCAGUCGUGGUGGCUCAUGGCUGUAAAAGAGGAGGAGGAGGAGGAGGAAACAGCCAGGCGACCUGGUUCAUGCUUGUAGAGGCAGAGGAGAAGUAAACACCCAUGUGCAAUGGCUCACACCUGUUGAGGAGGAAGGAACAGCCAGGCGAGGUGACUCACACACCUGUAAAAGAGGAGGAGGAGGAAACAGCCAGGAGAGGUGGCUCACACGCCUGUAAAAGAGGAGGAGGAGGAGGAAACAGCCAGGCGUGGUGGCUCAUGGCUGUAAAAGACGAGGAGGAGGCGGAAACAGCCAGGCGGGUGGAUCACGCCUGUAAAAGAGGAGGAGGAGGAGGAAACAGCCAGUCGUGGUGGCUCAUGGCUGUAAAAGAGGAGGAGGAGGAGGAAACAGCCAGGCGUGGUGGCUCACACGCCUGUAAAAGAGGAGGAGGAGGAGGAAACAGCCAGGCCUGGUGGCUCAUGUCUGUAAAAGAGGAGGAGGAGGAGGAAACAGCCAGGCGGGUGACUCACACACCUGUAAAAGAGGAGGAGGAGGAAACAGCCAGGCGAGGUGGCUCACACGCCUGUAAAAGAGGAGAAGGAGGAGGAAACAGCCAGGUGACCUGGCUCAUGGCUGUAAAAGAGGAAGAGGAGGAAACAGCCAGGCGGGUGACUCACACACCUGUAAAAGAGGAGGAGGAGGAAACAGCCAGGCGUGAUGGCUCAUGGCUGUAAAAGAGGAGGAGGAGGAGGAAACAGCCAGGCGGGUGACUCACACACCUGUAAAAGAGGAGGAGGAGGAAACAGGCAGGCGAGGUGGCUCACACGCCUGUAAAAGAGGAGGAGGAGGAGGAAACAGCCAGGCGUGGUGGCUCAUGGCUGUAAAAGACGAGGAGGAGGAGGAAACAGCCAGGCAGGUUCUCUCACGCCUGUAAAAGAGGAGGAGGAGGAGGAAACAGCCAGUCGUGGUGGCUCAUGGCUGUAAAAGAGGAGGAGGAGGAGGAAACAGCCAGGCGGGUGGCUCACGCCUGUAAAAGAGGAGGAGGAGGAGGAAACAGCCAGGCGACCUGGCUCAUGCUUGUAGAGGCAGAGGAGAAGGAAACACCCAUGUGCAAUGGCUCACACCUGUUGAGGAGGAAGGAACAGCCAGGCGAGGUGACUCACACACCUGUAAAAGAGGAGGAGGAGGAAACAGGCAGGCGAGGUGGCUCACACGCCUGUAAAAGAGGAGGAGGAGGUGGAAACAGCCAGGCGACCUGGCUCAUGGGUGUAAAAGAGGAGGAGGAGGAAACAGCCAGGCGUGGUGGCUCAUGGCUGUAAAAGAGGAGGAGGAGGAGGAGGAAGAAACAGCCAGGCGGGUGGCUCACGCCUGUAAAAGAGGAGGAGGAGGAGGAAAUAGCCAGGCGUGGUGGCUCAUGGCUGUAAAAGAGGAGGAGGAGGAGGAAACAGCCAGGCGAGGUGGCUCACACGCCUGUAAAAGAGGAGGAGGAGGAGGAAACAGCCAGGCCUGGUGGCUCACGCCUGUAAAAGAGGAGAAGGAGGAGGAAACAGCCAGGCGGGUGGCCCUCGCCUGUAAUAGAGGAGGAGGAGGUGGAAACAGCCAGGCCACCUGGCUCAUGGCUGUAAAAGAGGAGGAGGAGGAAACAGCCAGGGGUGGUGGCUCAUGGCUGUAAAAGAGGAGGAGGAGGAGGAAACAGCCAGGCGGGUGGCUCACGCCUGUAAAAGAGGAGGAGGAGAAGGAAACAGCCAGUCGUGGUGGCUCAUGGCUGUAAAAGAGGAGGAGGAGGAAAACAGCCAGGCGGGUGGCUCACGCCUGUAAAAGAGGAGGAGGAGGAGGAAACAGCCAGGCGACCUGGCUCAUGCUUGUAGAGGCAGAGGAGAAGGAAACACCCAUGUGCAAUGGCUCACACCUGUUGAGGAGGAAGGAACAGCCAGGCGAGGUGACUCACACACCUGUAAAAGAGGAGGAGGAGGAAACAGCCAGGCGAGGUGGCUCACACGCCUGUAAAAGAGGAGGAGGAGGUGGAAACAGCCAGGCGACCUGGCUCAUGGCUGUAAAAGAGGAGGAGGAGGAAACAGCCAGGCGUGGUGGCUCAUGGCUGUAAAAGAGGAGGAGGAGGAGGAGGAAGGAACAGCCAGGCGGGUGGCUCACGGCUGUAAAAGAGGAGGAGGAGGAGGAAAUAGCCAGGCGUGGUGGCUCAUGGCUGUAAAAGAGGAGGAGGAGGAGGAAACAGCCAGGCGAAGUGGCUCACAUGCCUGUGAAAGAGGAGGAGAAGGAAACAGCCAGGCGGGUGGUUCACGCCUGUAAAAGAGGAGGAGGAGGAGGAAACAGCCAGGCGUGGUGGCUCACACGCCUGUAAAAGAGGAGGAGGAGGAGGAAACAU